rnacentral:rRNA from 1 species
UACGGGAGGCAGCAGUAGGGAAUCUUAGACAAUGGGGGCAACCCUGAUCUANCCAUGCCGCGUGUGUGAUGAAGGCCCUAGGGUCGUAAAGCACUUUCGCCAGAGAUGAUAAUGACAGUAUCUGGUAAAGAAACCCCGGCUAACUCCGUGCCAGCAGCCGCGGUAAUACGGAGGGGGUUAGCGUUGUUCGGAAUUACUGGGCGUAAAGCGCACGUAGGCGGAUUAGUAAGUUAGAGGUGAAAUCCCAGGGCUCAACCCUGGAACUGCCUUUAAUACUGCUAGUCUUGAGUUCGAGAGAGGUAAGUGGAAUUCCGAGUGUAGAGGUGAAAUUCGUAGAUAUUCGGAGGAACACCAGUGGCGAAGGCGGCUUACUGGCUCGAUACUGACGCUGAGGUGCGAAAGUGUGGGGAGCAAACAGGAUUAGAUACCCUGGUAGUCCACACCGUAAACGAUGAAUGCCAGACGUCAGCAAGUAUACUUGUUGGUGUCACACCUAACGGAUUAAGCAUUCCGCCUGGGGAGUACGGUCGCAAGAUUAAAACUUAAAGGAAUUGACGG